UUCAGGCUGAGAAACAUACAUACACUUCUUCCAGUUCACCAUUCUGAAAAUAACAUUGACAAAGAAAAUAGAAAAGGUUGAUUGGGAGUUGGGACUGGCCGUCUGCCCUUGUUGCAAUGGAACAGCGAUCUUUUGGUCAAUCAAACCUGAGCCAUUGUUUACAAAACAUAAAUAACAUCAUAUCUGCUAGGGCAAAUUGAUGUGAAGAUAAGACGCUUCUUAAUUUACAAAACAUAAAUGACAUCACAUCUAAUAUUAAUUUGGAAAUAAGACGCCUCUUAAUUUAGAGCCACACCCUUCUGAGGACCCGUCCAGUUCCCUGCAACCUACGUUCCACUGAAAACAGCAUCUUUAAAAGCAUGUUGAAAAUCCAAACCAAAUUUCUCCAGGCCGCUAAAAGAAGGAACUUGUCAAAAAGAGCUAUCACGUUCGUUCCAAGAAGCUAGAAUUUUCGCAAUUGCAUUGCUAGGUAGUCUGGCUUCUGCCUCCCCAAUUGAGUGUUAAGUACAAACUCCAUCCGAGUUGCUGCACAUAAACAUUUGCCGGCACCUACUCUACUAUUGCCAUUUUUCCCACCAUGGCCGUGUUCGACAUGAAGUCCGCUCCCUUGAUGAUCCUAGAACUCCUCUUAGUUAGCCUUGGCCUUACCAUUGCGCCCUUCAGCGCCGAAGAAAACAACGACCACUGGUUCGUCUACUCUGGCUUCGCCAAUGCUAGCCUCACCCUAGACAACACAGCCUCGAUCACACCAAGCGGGUUGCUGGAGCUGACCAAUGGCACGGUCAUGAGCAUGGGCCAUGCCUUCUACCCGACUCCACUGCGCCUCCGUGACUCGCCCAACAGCACGGUGCAGUCCUUCUCUGCCUCCUUCGUGUUCGGCAUCAUCUCCAUCUACGACGACUUGAGCAGCCACGGCCUCGCUAUGUUGAUUGCACCGAGCAGGACACUUUCCGCGCUUCCAGUGCAAUACCUGGGCCUCCUAAGUGGCUCCAACGAUGGCAACAAGAGCAACCAUAUCUUCGCCGUUGAGCUUGACACCUACCAGAACAGUGAGUUUAAGGACAUCAACAACAACCACAUCGGCAUCGACAUCAACAGCAUGACCUCCGUGCAGUCCAACCCGGCUGGUUUCUUCCAUGAUCAAGAUGGAACCUUCGAAAACCUGACACUCAGUAGCAAAGAGGCGAUGCGGGUGUGGGUGGAGUACGAUCGAGAGAAUACACAGAUUGACGUCACCAUGGCUCCUCUGGCCAUAGUCAAACCUAAGAGACCAACAGUGUCCACUAUCCAAAACCUCUCAGACGUGCUCACCGACGUGGCAUACGUCGGUUUCUCAUCGUCAACGGGCAAGAUCCAUACGCAACACUAUGUUCUCGGCUGGAGCUUCGCCAUGAACGGCCCUGCUCCGUCCAUCGACCUGAGCAUGCUUCCAAAGCUUCCACGGCAUCAUCACAAGAGUCGACGAUCCUGGGUGUUAGAGACAGUUCUGCCCAUAGCAACUGCAGCAUUGCUCUUGUCUCUUGGUGUCGUUGCUUUCUUGCUUGUGCGGAGGCAUGUCAGGUACGCGGAGAUACGGGAAGACUGGGAAUUGGAGUUCGGCCCGCACCGAUUCUCAUACAAGGACCUGUUCCAUGCGACGGGUGGAUUUGAGAACAAGAAUCUUCUUGGCAUUGGAGGAUUUGGGAGAGUGUACAAAGGGGAGCUCCCGAGAUCGAGAUUGAAGAUAGCCGUGAAGAGGGUAUCGCAUGACUCCAAGCAAGGGAUGAAGGAGUUUAUCGCGGAGAUCGUCAGCAUAGGACGUCUUCAGAACCGCAAUCUCGUCCAGUUGCUUGGCUACUGUCGUCGCAAAGGUGAGCUCCUACUGGUAUAUGAGUACAUGCCCAAUGGAAGCUUGGAUAAAUACCUGCAUAAUGCAAAAGAGGGCAACUCUGCGUUGAGUUGGGCUCAAAGGUUUCGGAUCAUCAAGGGAAUCGCAUCCGGCCUACUGUAUCUCCAUGAGGAGUGGGAGAAGGUAGUUGUUCACAGAGACAUCAAGGGAAGCAAUGUGCUCCUCGACAGCGAGAUGAAUGGACGGUUAGGCGAUUUCGGCCUUGCAAGGUUGUAUGAUCACGGUGUCGACCCACAGACCACACAUGUGGUUGGCACCAUAGGUUACCUUGCUCCGAAGCUCGCACGCGGCGGAAAUGCCACUCCCCUUACAGAUGUUUUCUCCUUUGGUAUGUUUGUCCUUGAGGUCACCUGUGGACAGAGGCCUGUCAGACACGAAAAUGUGCAAGAUAGCCAACUCAUGCUGGUUGAUUGGGUGCUCGACAAGGUGCGAGAAGGAUCAUUCGGUGCUACCAUGGAUGCUAGGCUUGAAGGGAAGUAUGAUAUCGGUGAGGCAUACUUGGCGUUGAAAAUAGGGCUGUUGUGUUCACACCCAUUCGCCAGUGAAAGGCCUACCAUGCGGCAAGUCAUACAAUACUUGGAUGGGGAGAUUGAGGCUCCAGAUUUAAGCUUCGAGGUGCUAGCCUCUAUGCAAAGUGAAGGGAUCGAUCCAUACCUCAUUUCAUAUCCCUUGUCAACAGAAUGCUUCAGCACAACGUCAAACGUCGUCUCUGGAGGAAGAUGAAAAUGUGUUGUCAUGAAUGGAUACAAAUAUGUUUAUUGCAUACCCUAAGUAACUUAUUUGCAGGUUCUUUUUAGGAGAACACACUGACUAAGGUUUUGGAGUCAACUUCAAAGUAAAGAUGAAAACAAGGAUCUAAUAAUAAAAGGCUGCAGAAGGAUGGAGUCAGUUGGGAUGCACAUCUUCGCGCACUAUGGCUGGAGAUUCAUAAACAGAUUGUCAUUAUAAUUUUGUUUUUCUGUGUUUUCGUGAGUGCCUAUACUAUGUGUCGGAGGUUUGUCCAUCCUUGGUGUUGUAGUCCCUGUGACUACUGUUUUUGUAAGCGUUGGCCCUAGCCUCUCGUUUUGACUUUUGAGGUUAAAGCCGGACAUUUCCAUUAUCUAAAAAAAGAAAUUAAAUGUGCAUUGUAUAUAUAGAGGAAGCCUACAUAACUCGAGGAUAUUGUUAUUAAUUUGCCUGUAAAAUAGUGUGCUUCUUUUUCUGUUUGCAUCCAGAUAUCUUGUGUUUUUUGUUCAAUUACUUCGUGCAGCACCCUUGUUUUGCAUUAGAACCUCCAAUCAAAUAAUUGACGGUACUCACUGAUGUCAAAAUUCACUAGCUUUCACUGUAAGAUAACUACUAUUCAUAAGUAGUCAGUUAUAUAUGUUUGUUUUUUUACAACUAUUCAUAUGUGCAUCCAUGAGAAUCAUAAGGCCAGAUGGAUGAAAAAAAUCGACAAGACAACUAAGCUACAUAAUAACAUGUUCAGUCAUAUAAAAGAUUUUUUUUUGCUUAACACAAUUAUAUAAAAAAAUGUAUAUGUUACAUCCAUCUACCUGAAUCCUCCCAUGCCAGGUUCCCUUGAUCCUAGCUAAGUAUUGGUAAUCUCUAUGAAUUGUACUAGUAUGACCAGAAACAUAUUGCCAAGUGUGCACUGAAUGUACAUAAGAUAUUUUCGGUAAGUAGGAAUCUGGAACUGGCAUUUUGAAGUCUGUAAGUCUCAAAUGCAAAGUUCCCUUGGUCCUAGACAAUCUCUACAUCUCAAUCAGACAAAUAAUAAUGUGUCUGGAGUCUGGACAAAUUGUACUCCUAUAGAUACAACCAUGAGGGUACUCAGAAGUCCAUGCUGAAUCCAUAUAAGAUUUUUUCAGGAAGUAAGGAUUUGGACCUGGCAUUCUGAAGUAGUGAAGCCUGAAUAACCAGAUGCCAAGUAGCUUUGAAACAAGGUAAUCUCCACAAUUCACACACAGACAAAGAAUGAACGAAUUGUUUUGUACUUUUAUGACCACACAUAUGUUUGCAUCAAAGCAGCACACAUCGCAUCAAGCUUCGUUUUCAGUUAUUUCCCUUCUUUAAAUGCACUUGUUUACUUCUAGUUCCUUCCAUUUUACAUGGAAAAAAUAAAUAUUUCGAUGUUCACAGGGAUCCAUAUCCCUGUUAGCAACUUUAUGUUUUCCUUAGUCUAUACUCUAUAGUAGUAUAGUUAUAGGAAGCUAGGUUCUGGCUCUUGCUUAAGCUUAGUAUUUAAAAAAUUUAGAUCACAUUGCAUAUAUAAGAAAUUAUAUGCACGUAGGAUUAGAUCCUAUUUCUACAGAACAAAAUUUUAUGUAUAAUCGCAGCUUCAGGCCUUUAAUCAGAAGCCUGAGAUAUGAGUUAACAAGUAUUCCCUCCAACCUAGGUAAUCACUUCAAGUGGCCGUCAGAUAGGUAUACAUCAAAGCUUUAUUACACAUUUAACAAGCUUUGUUUUCAGCCUCCAUCUUUAAAUGCAAUGUUGUAAGCUAUUCUUGUCCACAACCUGUUAAAGGACUACAAAAAGUUGAUUGGAAUCCUCUACCCUUGUUGCAAUGGAACAGCGAUCUUUACUAGCCCGUGUCUCACGGGACACAUUUGUUUCUUUUGUUAAGCUCUAACCAGUCCACAUUCUGGAUGAAAGCAGAAAUGUAUGCUAACAAUGCUUGACUCAAAAAUUUAGCCUUCUUGUGCAAACAAUGGAAGCUUUCUUUCUGGAUCUUAGUUUGGGUUCAUAGUUUAUGUACAAGCAUUAAAGCUUCCCUUAUAGAAAAAAAGUUUUAUAUACAAGCAUGAAAGAUGCUACUUGUACAAUACGGAGCCUCCUAUUCAUGACAAAAAGUUGAUAUGAUGAUAUGAUGGUUCAGCUGAAUGAUUUUUAGCUGACAUUGUCUUACUACAUUUCAUGUUCAGUUAUUCUGGAAUCCUAAAUACUCCCUUCAUUCCAAAUUGUAAGAUGUUUUGUCUUUUCUAGUUACAUAGCUUUUGCUAUACACUUGGAUAUGCAUUGUAUCUAAAAGAACGUCUUACAAUUUAGAACAGAUGGAGUACUUGUUAGGCUGUUACUUAAAAUCAAUUCUAAGAUGUGGUAGCAAAUAAACCUAACAGUAUAAGUGUCUAUAUCACCUAUUAAAAUUUAGACAAUAACAGAUGUUGAAAAUCCAGAAACUAGACUUGGUAUGAAGCAGCAAGUUAAAAUCUAAUAUAAACUGAACCACUGAGUGCAAGCGGAAACCAGAUAGCAUUGGUUGCCCACAUAACACUUACUGCUUGCUAUCCUUGUUGAUUUGCAGCUUGCAAGACACACACAUGCUUGUAAUGGCAAUGAAGCAUACGUCCUUCCUUCCGUACCUGCUCCUCCUCACAACCUUGGCAUCCUGCGAUGAUCAAUUUCUGUUAUCUGGCUUCACCCAAUCCAGCUUAAACCUUGAUGGUUCUGCCAUCGUCACAAAUGAUGGCCUCCUUGAUCUGACCAAUAGCACUGCAAUUACCAACGGUCACGCAUUCUACCCCAGCCCUUUGCACUUCCGCAAAUCACCUGAUGGUAAAGUUGAAUCCUUCUCAGUCAAUGUUGUUUUCAGCAUCUUCAUCACAUACCCAGACUUGAGUGCUGACGGCAUGGCCUUCUUCAUCGCACCUACCAAGAAUUUCUCUGAUGCACGGGCAGGCAAGUACUUUGGCUUGCUCAACGAAAACAACAAUGGAAACACAAGAAACCACAUCUUCAUGGUCGAGCUUGAUACCUACAAAAAUGCUGAGGUACAAGAUAUCAACGACAACCACGUUGGAAUCAACAUCAACGGUGUAUUCUCCUUCAAAUCCAAUACAUCUGGCUUCUAUGAAGAUAGUGGUGCCUUCCGGGAGCUGACACUGAAUGGAAACAAGGGAACACAACUGUGGAUCGACUAUGACAAGAGUACUAUGCAGAUCAAUGUGACCCUGGCUCCGAUCAACGUGCACAAACCAUCCAGGCCACUGCUGUCUACAACCUAUGAUCUCUCAACUGUAAUCUCCACCUCAACUUCAUACAUUGGAUUCGCAUCCGGAGCUUCUCCCGUGAACUCCCGUCAUUAUGUGAUGGGCUGGAGCUUUGGCAUGAAUAAACCAGCCCCACCCCUUGACGUCUCCAAGCUUCCCAAGUUGCCUUUCCAUGGCCCCAAGGCCCAGUCCAAGCUCUUGGCAAUUGUCCUGCCGAUAGCCACUGCAACGUUGAUCCUCUCCAUAGGCACUAUUGUCACUCUGGUUGUCCGAAGGCGGCUGAAGUAUGCUGAGGUGCGUGAGGAUUGGGAGGGUGAGUUUGGUCCACAUCGGUUUUCAUACAAGGAUUUGUACCAUGCUACAGGGGGGUUUAAGAAUAAGCACCUGCUUGGAGAAGGAGGGUUUGGGAAAGUAUACAAAGGAGUCCUUCCAUUAUCUAAUGUAGAGGUUGCUGUGAAGAGGAUGUCUCAUGAGUCAAGACAAGGAAUGAAAGAGUUUGUCACUGAGGUUGUUAGCAUCGGUCGACUCCGCCAUCGCAACCUUGUCCAGCUACUUGGCUACUGCAGGAGAAAAGGUGAGCUGUUUUUGGUUUAUAACUACAUGCCCAAUGGUAGCCUUGAUAAAUAUCUAUACUGUGAAGAGCACGGUGCUAUUUUGAACUGGGAACAGAGGUUUCGAGUCAUCAGAAACAUCGCUACCGUCUUGCUGUAUCUCCAUGAGAAGUGGGAGAAGAUAGUGAUCCACAGAGACAUCAAGGCAAGCAACGUACUCCUAGAUGGUGAAAUGAACGGCCGCCUCGGCGACUUCGGCCUUGCAAGGUUGUAUGAUCACGGCACUGACCCACAAACAACACAUAUGGUUGGAACAAAGGGAUACCUAGCACCCGAGCUUCUGCGCACAGGGAAGGCGUCCCCUCAUACAGAUGUCUUUGCCUUCGGCAUGUUCCUUCUUGAGGUUGCGUGUGGGCAAAGACCUGUCAAGAAAAAUGCAGAGGGGACUGAAUUUUUCUUGGUCGAUUGGGUGCUCGAGCACUGGAAUAAUGGUGUUAUUACAAAGACACUGGAUUCAAGGCUUCAGGGUGACUACAACAUUGAUGAGGCCCAUCUUGUGUUGAAGCUAGGACUCUUGUGCUCGCACCCACUUCCUAGUUCAAGGCCUAGGAUGCGACAAGUUAUGCAAUACCUCGAUGGCGAUACGCCACUACCCGAGCUAAGGCCAACGCAACUGAGCUCGAACAUGGUUGCCUUGAUGAAAAACAGUGGACUCAACUCAUCUGUCGUGUCAUAUCCGCAAAUAUCGACGAGCUUCUGCACAAUAUCUAGCCUCUCGGGAGGAAGAUGAUAUCUGCCAUUUUUCCGUACUUCAUUACUUAGCUGUUUAGUAUGUGACGCGUUUAAUUUUAUUGUAUAAGUCUUUGUAUUUUUAGGUGCCCACGGGUUGUAUGUUUGUCUGUUUAGUGCGGGGAUUUAUGUCUGUUUGUCUUUUGAAUUCUUUAGGUGUUGGCAGUAGUUUCUUUUUAACGGAACAUUUUUCUUCGUUGUUUUCGUCACAAGGACUUGUCCACAAGCAGCAACAUGUUCAAUACCCUAACACGAUAGUGAAUUUAGUGAUGCUAAAACACGACAUAACUGAAUAAAUAAAUCCGCAUAAAAAGAAUGCAUAACGAGAUUUCUUCAUCUAACAGAAGUUCACCAGAAGACUCGCACGGAUCUGACGCCGAGAAUGAAAUCUAACAGAUAUAAAAAGAAAUCCACAAGGGAGAAUGGUUUCUCCUUGUGUGUGUGUGUGUUUGUGUCAGUUUUGUCAGAAUUUGUGGCAAAUUGCUCUUCAAAUCGUGCCGCAGAGAGCACUGACAUACACGCACAGUUUCAUAUAGUAUUUGUUUUGGGGCGAAAAUGAAGCGAUGUAUGGUUCGGUAAUAUAUUCAUCUAGAUAAGCUCCGAACAAGCACUAAUCGCAAUUUGCGGACAAGCUUCAGAAAUCACGAUUACCUCGUACUACUGUAGUGCCGUCUCCGUGGCAGCCCGGCGGAUACCUACGCCGAGCACAGGAUAAGGCGCAGCCCCCUGCCCCUUGCCCCCCGCCCGCUGCAAUCUGGCCUUCGGCGGAGGAAUCAGGAGGCCGUAGCCGAGGAGACGAUGUCACGACCCUGGUAUUCCUGCUACUGCUACUUAUGCUGUUAAUGUUUAGUCUUUGAUUAAGUCAGUCGGAGAAGAAGAGGAUUAGAGAGGGAUUACUGUUGACCAUCAGGGUUCUAAGUCUUGUAAUAGAUCCAGACCAUUAGGCUCAUAUUAGAGUCUAUAAAUAUUUAUAAUCACAUCUGGAAGAGACUAUGAAAUGGAAUAAAGAACAAACUCCACCAAAACUUGUAUUUAUCUAAGCGCAC
rnacentral:lncRNA from 1 species